AAUCAACGCUGGCGGCGUGCCUCAGACAUGCAAGUCGAACGAGAAAUCCCGAGCAAUCGGGAAAGUAAAGUGGCGCACGGGUGAGUAACACGUAGGUAAUCUACCUUCGGGUGGGGAAUAACCCAGGGAAACUUGGGCUAACACCGCAUAAUGCAGCGGCACCACAUGGUGACAGUUGUUAAAGCGGGGGAUUUUAGGACCUCGCGCCUGAAGAGGAGCCUGCGGCGGAUUAGCAGUUGGUAAGGUAACGGCUUACCAAGGCGACGAUCCGUAGCCGGCCUGAGAGGGCGGUCGGCCACACUGACACUGACAUACGGGUCAGACUCCUACGGGAGGCAGCAGUCGGGAAUUUUGGGCAAUGGGCGAAAGCCUGACCC
rnacentral:rRNA from 1 species